rnacentral:rRNA from 1 species
AUGGUAGGAUAGAGGCCUACCAUGGUGGUAACGGGUAACGGGGUGUUAGGGCACGACACCGGAGAGGGAGCCUGAGAAACGGCUACCACAUCCAAGGAAGGCAGCAGGCGCGCAAAUUACCCAAUCCCGACACGGGGAGGUAGUGACAAUAAAUAACAAUACAGGGUUCUUUCGGAUUUUGUAAUUGGAAUGAGUACAAUUUAAAUCUCUUAACGAGGAACAAUUGGAGGGCAAGUCUGGUGCCAGCAGCCGCGGUAAUUCCAGCUCCAAUAGCGUAUAUUAAAGUUGUUGCAGUUAAAAAGCUCGUAGUUGAAUUUCGGGAUCAAGUCGUCGGUCGUGCUCAGGUACGUACUGGCGUCAUUGAUUUCUCCCUUCUGACGAACCAUGAUGUCAUUAAUUUGGUGUUAUGGGAAAUCAGGACUGUUACUUUGAAAAAAUUAGAGUGUUUAAAGCAGGCUCACGCUUGAAUACAUUAGCAUGGAAUAAUGAAAUAGGACGUUCGAUCCUAUUUUGUUGGUUUUAGGAUCAACGUAAUGAUUAAUAGGGAUAGUUGGGGGCAUUAGUAUUCAAUUGUCAGAGGUGAAAUUCUUGGAUUUAUUGAAGACUAACUACUGCGAAAGCAUUUGCCAAGGAUGUUUUCAUUAAUCAAGAACGAAAGUUAGGGGAUCGAAGACGAUCAGAUACCGUCGUAGUCUUAACCAUAAACUAUGCCGACUAGGGAUCGGAUGAUGUUAAUUUUUUAAUGACUCAUUCGGCGCCUUACGGGAAACCAAAGUGUUUGGG